rnacentral:lncRNA from 1 species
CAAACAAGGAGUGAUGAAGUAAAUCAGGUUGCAACAGGGCAUCAAAGCAAACAGAAACGUUCCAGAGAAUCCAAGAGACACUCUUCAUCUAAGAGAAGGAAGAGUAUGUCGCGGUGGUUAAACAAACAGGAAGAUGCUAGUAUCACUCACAAUGUCCAUGAAGAGAAGAUAAAAAAAAUGGCCAACCAGCACCUGGUAAUGUCGUCACUACUGUUCCACCAGCGCUUAUUAAUAUAGCAGC